GUGCCAGCCGCCGCGGUAAUACAGAGGGUGCAAGCGUUGCUCGGAUUUACUGGGCGUAAAGCGUACGCAGACGGUGAGAAAGGUCGGAUGUGAAAGCCCCGGGCUCAACCCGGGAACUGCAUCCGAAACCAUCUCGCUAGAGUAUGGGAGAGGGAAGCAGAAUUCCUGGUGUAGAGGUGAAAUUCGUAGAUAUCAGGAGGAAUACCUGCGGCGAAGGCGGCUUCCUGGCCCAUUACUGACGUUCAGGUACGAAAGCGUGGGUAGCAAACAGGAUUAGAAACCCUAGUAGUCC
rnacentral:rRNA from 1 species